UAACACGUCAGUCAGGUAACACGUUGGCUAUAUAACACAUAAGACAGGUAAGACGUUGGCUAUAUAACACAUAAGGCAGGUAACACGUCAGACAGGUAACACGUUGGCUAUAUAACACAUAAGACAGGUAAUACGUCAGUCAGGUAACAUGUUGGCUAUAUAACACAUAAGGCAGGUAACACGUCAGACAGGUAACACGUUGGCUAUAUAACACGUUAGUCAGGUAACACGUUGGCUAUAUAACACAUAAGACAGGUAAUACGUCAAUCAGGUAACAUGUUGGCUAUAUAACACAUAAGGCAGGUAACACAUCGACCAGGUAACACAUCGGCCAGGUAACAUGUUGGCUAUAUAACACAUAAUGCAGGUAACACGUCAGUCAGGUAACACGUUGGCUAUAUAACACGUAAGACAGGUAACACGUUGGCUAUAUAACACAUAAGGCAGGUAACACGUCAGUCAGGUAACACGUUGGCUAUAUAACACGUAAGACAGGUAACACGUCAGUCAGGUAACACGUUGGCUAUAUAAUACGUCAGUCAGGUAA